AUUGAACGCUGGCGGCAUGCCUUACACAUGCAAGUCGAACGGUAACGCGGGGCAACCUGGCGACGAGUGGCGAACGGGUGAGUAAUGCAUCGGAACGUGCACAGUAGUGGGGGAUAGCCCGGCGAAAGCCGGAUUAAUACCGCAUACGACCUACGGGUGAAAGGGGGGGAUCGCAAGACCUCUCGCUAUUGGAGCGGCCGAUGUCAGAUUAGGUAGUUGGUGGGGUAAAGGCCUACCACGCCGACGAUCUGUAGCUGGUCUGAGGGGACGACCAGCCACACUGGGACUGAGACACGGCCCAGACUCCUACGGGAGGCAGCAGUGGGGAAUUUUGGACAAUGGGCGCAAGCCUGAUCCAGCCAUGCCGCGUGCGGGAAGAAGGCCUUCGGGUUGUAAACCGCUUUUGUCAGGGAAGAAAUCUUCUGGGUUAAUACCUCGGGAGGAUGACGGUACCUGAAGAAUAAGCACCGGCUAACUACGUGCCAGCCGCCGCCGUAA
rnacentral:rRNA from 1 species